rnacentral:rRNA from 1 species
AGGACGAACGCUGGCGGCGCGCCUAACACAUGCAAGUCGAGCGAGAACCAGGGCUUGCCCUGGGGAAAGCGGCGAACGGGUGCGUAACACGUGAGCAACCUGCCCCAAAGACCGGGACAACCCGAGGAAACUCGGACUAAUACCGGAUGCCCUCACCGGGCCGCAUGGUCUGGUGAGGAAAUGGAUUCCGCUUUGGGAUGGGCUCGCGGUCUAUCAGCUUGUUGGUGGGGUAACGGCCUACCAAGGCGACGACGGAUAGCUGGUCUGAGAGGACGAUCAGCCACACUGGGACUGAGACACGGCCCAGACUCCUACGGGAGGCAGCAGUGGGGAAUCUUGCGCAAUGGGGGAAACCCUGACGCAGCGACGCCGCGUGCGGGAUGAAGGCCUUCGGGUUGUAAACCGCUUUCAGCAGGGACGAAAUUGACGGUACCUGCAGAGAAGGCCGGCAACUACGCGCCAGCAGCCGC